GCAAAAUGGCGGCCGGGAAUAAAAACAGUUUCGAUAAAUAAGUAGAUACACUUUUCAUAUCCUUAUUUUACUCAUUAAAUCAAUUUCAGCGGAUUUGCUUUAGUUUUUCAAAUUUAUUGAAGCCGUUGGCGGGCAAUGGUGUGCAUCACAUCAUAGACGAGCUAGAAGAAGAUUGGGCAAAUUUGGUCUAAUUUAGCCAUACAUUUCUUAUCGAAAUUGGGAAAAUAAAAGUUACACUAAAUCAUUUUGAAUUUGUGGGCAGUGUGAAAUUAUGUAGCUAGUGCGGCAUACAUUUUUAAAAAGCUAAAAGAACAAUCUAACAGAUAAUCUUGUGUAGCUGCUGGGCUGAAUGGGUAAUAUAUACAAAAGUGCAAAAGUGGACAAGCAUGGAUGAAAUGGAUAGCUACAUACCUUAAUAAUACCUAGUAAGUAGGACAACCUAUUGCUCCAACAUUCACAAGCUAGGUAGUAUUCAUACGCAGAGUUCAAACAAUUUUUCUGCCACAGUUAUAGGUUCUUUUUAUUCUUUUUGUGAUUAUUUUGUUCAAACCUUUUAAGCUAGAUGCUGCAAUUGGGACCACCUUGUCUGGCUAAAGAAAGUUCCUAGACUAACUUUUAUAUGUUGUAUAACUAGAUGUAAAAGUCAAGGAGUUUGCUUGUGAUAUUUUUUGAGAAAAAAAAAAAUAUAUAUAUACAAUUGAUAUUGUUUAUAUUAAAAUAUUUAAAAAGUAAUCAAUUCUUGCCUUUUUGUGUGUGUUCCAUUACAUUAUUAAAUUUGUUUUGGUGUUUUUGUUAGUUUUUUAUCCUUUUAUUUCACUUGUUAAAAAAAAAAACAUGUAUAUAAAGCUAAAACGAUAAUCUUUUUUCGUGAAAUGAAAUUAUACAUAAAUAAAAUAUCAGCAUAACGCAGUAUUUGCCACCCCAAAGUUUUGAGAUCUUAUUAAAUUUAGCGCCUGAUUCACUAAUCCGCGCUUUGUUAAAUACAUUAACAUAAUUCAUGCCACAUAUGAAAAAGGUCUGGAGACGAACGGAGGGGCGAGAGGCUUUUGAACACUAUACAUUCUUAUUUCGGGAACGUGACAAUUACUCUGCCAGUCGGAAAAUGUCACGUGAUACAUUUAAUCAAAAUUAUGCCUGUAUUUUUAAACUGAAAGUGACAUUCCAACCGGGAGAAUUGGUUUAAAAUAAUUUAUUUCAUAAAACAAGGGAAAGUUUUUCUCCUGCUUAUUUAUCAUACAGGACGAGUUGCUGUUUGUUGUGGAGGUUACACUGAACAGUUGACCUAUAUCCUACGUUAAAGAGGACGUGUAGGUGCCGAUUCUUACUGCGAACUCUCUUAUAUACGAACAAGUGAACGCUAUACCGGAAGAGACAGUAAGUGAAAGAUGUUGAAUGGUUAAACUUACAUAAAAGAGCGAAGUAUUUGCGACGAUGAAUGUGGGAAAGAGAUAGAUGACGAAAUACUUUGACGACUACGAGAACAACACACGACAAUCAAAUGAAAAAAUUCUAGAAAAGAUAGAGAUUGGAACUUCCAUGCUUAUUCAUGGAAACUAAAAAAUCGUUCGAUUUGGAAGAUUAGGUGCUGUCAAACUACUGAUAACAGAGUUUUGUGAGAGCGGUUAGAUUAAGAACUGGCAAACAUCAAUUGAAAAAAGCUGUGCAACAAUCGUAUCCUAUGGAGUUAUCGUGUGAUUGUGUAGAACACGCAGCAGGGGUGAAGACGGCAAAGAAAUUCCAGGCACUGACCGUCGAAUCGAAAAACCAAAAAAAAAUGCGACAGCUUCACAUUCAAGACAUGUUAAAUGACGAGGAAAGGAUGUAAUUAUUCUAUCUUACAUUUGACAAUUAACGUUCUCAAAGUGGUGUUAAAUGAACAUAAUUUAUGCCGAAUGUGAAAGAGAUCUGGAGACGAAAGGAGAAGCCAAAGGUUUUCCAAAGAAAAGAGAAGGACGUUUUCUUGUAAUGUUUAUAUUUUAGUUAAAGAAGCUAUUUUAACAUUAA